rnacentral:rRNA from 1 species
UACAGAGGUCCCAAGCGUUGUUCGGAUUCAUUGGGCGUAAAGGGUGCGUAGGCGGCGCGGUAAGUCGGGUGUGAAAUCUCGGGGCUUAACUCCGAAACUGCAUUCGAUACUGCCGUGCUUGAGGACUGGAGAGGAGACUGGAAUUUACGGUGUAGCGGUGAAAUGCGUAGAUAUCGUAAGGAAGACCAGUGGCGAAGGCGGGGUCUCUGGACAGUUCCUGACACUGAGGCACGAAAGCUAGGGGAGCAAACAGG